rnacentral:rRNA from 1 species
UACGGGAGGCAGCGGCGGGGAAUAUUGCACAAUGGGCGCAAGCCUGAUGCAGCCAUGCCGCGUGUAUGAAGAAGGCCUUCGGGUUGUAAAGUACUUUCAGUCGUGAGGAAGGUGUUAAGGUUAAUAACCUUAGCAAUUGACGUUAGCGACAGAAGAAGCACCGGCUAACUCCGUGCCAGCAGCCGCGGUAAUACGGAGGGUGCGAGCGUUAAUCGGAAUUACUGGGCGUAAAGGGCACGCAGGCGGUUAAUUAAGUUGGAUGUGAAAUCCCCGGGCUUAACCUGGGAAUGGCAUUCAAGACUGGUUAGCUAGAGUCUUGUAGAGGGGGUAGAAUUCCAUGUGUAGCGGUGAAAUGCGUAGAGAUGUGGAGGAAUACCGGUGGCGAAGGCGGCCCCGUGGACAAAGACUGACGCUCAUGUGCGAAAGCGUGGGGAGCGAAACAGGGAUUAGAUACC